UGGCAGGGCUGUGACUCAAAGGUCCCGCACGGCGGAUUGUGCUCACUCCCAUUUGGCAGAGAAUGACAGGGGAGGCGGAUUCAUGCAGCCAUUACUGCUGAGCUGAAAUGUGGAGUGCUGCUGGCUGUUCCCUGAGGAAUAGGAAAUGACCACAAUGACACCCACAAGAUCUUCUCCAGGUACCUGAGAAUCUCACUCAAGCCUCAUGAUCUACUUCUGCUACUCCAAUCAUUAAUUACUACUGAGCUUUUGCCAUCUCAGUUGUCCAUCCAAGCUGGUGUGUUGUCUUUGCUGAAAGAUGCUGUUAACCAACAACUAGGACCUCUACAACAGUCCACAAGGAGGAUUGGUGGAUAUGUCCUGUAUGGCAUAUGAGGUGCUGGCAAUUCUCUGGAGAAACAGGGAUUGAUUAUCAUUGUGAAAAUGAAAUUCAGCUGAAGUAACCAGGACAACAUGGAUGAUGUCUUGGGGAGUGCCCUGAAGCUGUUUCUGGGGACUUGGAUGCCAAUUUUGUUGCAGGAUCUCUCUGGUGUAGGACAAGCAUCUUAC